AGUGAACGCUGGCGGUAGGCCUAACGCAUGCAAGUCGAACGGCAGCACAGUAAGAGCUUGCUCUUACGGGUGGCGAGUGGCGGACGGGUGAGGAAUACAUCGGAAUCUACUUUUUCGUGGGGGAUAACGUAGGGAAACUUACGCUAAUACCGCAUACGACCUACGGGUGAAAGCAGGGGAUCUUCGGACCUUGCGCGAUUGAAUGAGCCGAUGUCGGAUUAGCUAGUUGGCGGGGUAAAGGCCCUCCAAGGCGACGAUCCGUAGCUGGUCUGAGAGGAUGAUCAGCCACACUGGAACUGAGACACGGUCCAGACUCCUACGGGAGGCAGCAGUGGGGAAUAUUGGACAAUGGGCGCAAGCCUGAUCCAGCCAUACCGCGUGGGUGAAGAAGGCCUUCGGGUUGUAAAGCCCUUUUGUUGGGAAAGAAAAGCAGCAGGUUAAUACCCCGCUGUUCUGACGGUACCCAAAGAAUAAGCACCGGCUAACUUCGUG
rnacentral:rRNA from 1 species